rnacentral:rRNA from 1 species
CACGUGGGGCGCAAGCGUUGUCCGGAAUUAUUGGGCGUAAAGCGCACGUAGGCGGAUUUGUCAGUCAGGGGUGAAAUCCCGGGGCUCAACCUCGGAACUGCCUUUGAUACAGCAAGUCUUGAGUUCGAGAGAGGUGGGUGGAAUUCCUAGUGUAGAGGUGAAAUUCGUAGAUAUUAGGAAGAACACCGGUGGCGAAGGCGGCCCACUGGCUCGAUACUGACGCUGAGGAGCGAAAGCGUGGGGAGCGAACAGG